GGCUUGCUGGUCUAGUGGUAAGAUUCUCGCUUUGGGUGUGGGAGGUCACGGGUUCGAUUCCCAUGCAAGCUG
rnacentral:tRNA from 1 species